CCAAAUCCGCUCAACCUCGGUGGGCGCUGUUGGGUCCGUGAGAAACCCGAGCCCCCCUUUAAGUCAAAAUGACUCCGGAGGUCGACGAGGAAAGGAGGCAACCUACUCCACCAUGCGAAGCAUAACUCCGAGAAUGCAAGAGGUACGUCUAACUAGACGCCCUCCUUGUCAAAUUUUAUCUACAUACUGCUGAGCGGAAUCUCAACGUUGGAGUCUUAUCACGCCCCAAAGCCGGGCUUCUCCAAUAGGUCGGCUUAAGACCGACCCCCUAACUACGCUA
rnacentral:lncRNA from 1 species